UGUACACCAUCUGCACCACCAUAUGUAGCUUCUUCGGCUCAUUGAAUGCCUUCGUGCUUUGCACCUCCUCCGCAUCAGCUCCUCCUUACAAUGUACCAGCCAUAGCAUGUCUGCAUACCCAUCUAUCCACAUAUCCAACGGCAUACCCUCCUCCAACACAUUUUCCCCAUGCUCCAUUAGCCCAUCCUCCUCCGUACUCUCCCCUUUGGCUGAUCCUCCGCCUUCAUAUCCACCACCUCCUGGCGCUCUAGGACCUUAGUAUUAUCCUACACCACCUUGGCACAUACCUGGAGGGCUAGGAGAUGGAGGAUAUGGAGGCGGAGGAUAAACCAAAGGGGGAGGAUACACCGGAAGAAGAUAGGUUGAUGGAGGGUGGGAAAAAUGAGGGUAUGCCACUGGAUAUGGUGGAUAGAUGGGUACACUGUCACAGGACAUGGUAAGGCAUGUGCAUAGUAAGGAGAAGUCGAUUUGGGAGGAGGCGCGGAGUAUGAAGGCACCUGAAGAUCCGAAGUUUGUCCUAAACAUGAACAAUUGUUUCUUAUGAUGCGUGUCUUUUCUUUGGGAUAAAUCUUGGAAAAGGUUUUGGCUCCUCUGCCAAUCGGAUGAGCGGUGUUUAUGGUUCACUUGACCACCAUUUCCAUCACCGGAAUCGGGAUCAACCCUGCGAGAAGUAUCGGUGCUGCUGUUUUCUACAACAAGGAUAAGGCCUGAGAUGAUCAGGACCAUUCAAUGGAUCAGCCAUUGCAGCUUUCUACCACCACUUCAUAUUGAGGGCAGGAGCAGUUAAAGCCCUUAGAUCAUUCAGGAGUAACCCUUAAUCUAUUUUCAUAAUUUAUUAAUGCCCUCCUUCUAUUUGUUCUCUGCUGAGGGAAAACAAAAAGACGAGAGAGAGAGAGAGAGAGAGAGAGAGAGAUUUGGAAGGAGAUUGUGCUAAAGUCACACGGUGGUGGAGGAUUUGCUUUUGUUAUGCAUGUUUUCAAAAGUUCAUGGAAUGUGGAAUCUGUAGAGAGAUGGAAAAUCCUUGUGUUAUGAUGAGGUGGGGAACAUGUAUCUGUGUCUUUGUUCUUUGUAUGCUGUGCACUACAUUCAUAUGUGAUUUCGCUCCUGUUUCGUGGUUAUCUUCUGUUGGUCCUCU